ACGUAAACAACCUGCCUUCAGGAUGGGGACGAACAGACGGAAACGACUGCUAAUACCGAAUAAGUUCCAAGAGCCGCAUGGCCCAUGGAAGAAAAGGUGGCCUCUACCUGUAAGCUAUCGCCUGAAGAGGGGUUUGCGUCUGAUUAGCUGGUUGGAGGGGGUAACGGGCCCACCAAGGCGACGAUCAGUAGCCGGUCUGAGAGGAUGAACGGCCACACUGGAACUGAGACACGGUCCAGACUCCUACGGGAGGCAGCAUG
rnacentral:rRNA from 1 species